UCUUAUGGAUGAGCACAGAAAGUGGCUUCUUGAAAUGAAAUCUACUCCUGGUGAAGAUGCUAUUAA
rnacentral:pre_miRNA from 1 species